rnacentral:lncRNA from 1 species
GUCCGUGGUCAAGGCCCAGCCCAGACAGGGCACAAAGGGGCUGAGGAAGAGGAAGUAAGAUGCCAGGGUUGCCAUGCAGGAGGGCAACCCCGAGUGAGAUGGGCAUCGUGGCCUAGGGCCCACCUUCCGGAAGAGCUCAUCAGAACUUCGGACACACUGCAUGGGCCUAGACCCAGGGCUCGUUGAGCUCCUCCCUCGGAUUGGCUUCGAAUUUUAGGUGAAUCC